UACAGAGGGUGCAAGCGUUAAUCGGAAUUACUGGGCGUAAAGCGUGCGUAGUCGGUUAUUUAAGUCAGGUGUGAAAUCCCCGGGCUCAACCUGGGAAUUGCAUUUGAUACUGGAUAGCUAGAGUUCGGCAGAGGGAAGUGGAAUUUCUGGUGUAGCGGUGAAAUGCGUAGAUAUCAGAAGGAACAUCAGUGGCGAAAGCGACUUCCUGGACCAGAACUGACGAUCAGGCACGAAAGCGUGGGGAGCAAACAGG
rnacentral:rRNA from 1 species